GAUGAACGCUAGCUACAGGCUUAACACAUGCAAGUCGAGGGGCAGCAUGAACUUAGCUUGCUAAGUUUGAUGGCGACCGGCGCACGGGUGAGUAACACGUAUCCAACCUGCCGAUGACUCGGGGAUAGCCUUUCGAAAGAAAGAUUAAUACCCGAUGGCAUAAUUCUUCCGCAUGGUAGAACUAUUAAAGAAUUUCGGUCAUCGAUGGGGAUGCGUUCCAUUAGGUUGUUGGCGGGGUAACGGCCCACCAAGCCUUCGAUGGAUAGGGGUUCUGAGAGGAAGGUCCCCCCACAUUGGAACUGAGACACGGUCCAAACUCCUACGGGAGGCAGCAGUGAGGAAUAUUGGUCAAUGGACGAGAGUCUGAACCAGCCAAGUAGCGUGAAGGAUGACUGCCCUAUGGGUUGUAAACUUCUUUUAUACGGGAAUAAAGUGAGGCAUGUGUGCCUUUUUGUAUGUACCGUAUGAAUAAGCAUCGGCUAAUCCGUG
rnacentral:rRNA from 1 species